GACGAACGCUGGCGGCGUGCUUAACACAUGCAAGUCGAACGGAAAGGCCCUGCUUUUGUGGGGUGCUCGAGUGGCGAACGGGUGAGUAACACGUGAGUAACCUGCCCUUGACUUUGGGAUAACUUCAGGAAACUGGGGCUAAUACCGGAUAGGAGCUCCUGCUGCAUGGUGGGGGUUGGAAAGUUUCGGCGGUUGGGGAUGGACUCGCGGCUUAUCAGCUUGUUGGUGUGGUAGUGGCUUACCAAGGGUUUGACGGGUAGCCGGCCUGAGAGGGUGACCGGCCACAUUGGGACUGAGGUACGGACCAGACUCCUACGGGCGGCAGCAGUGGGGAAUAUUGCACAAUGGGCGGAAGCCUGAUGCAGCAACGCCGCGUGCGGGAUGACGGCCUUCGGGUUGUAAACCGCUUUCGCCUGUGACGAAGCGUGAGUGACGGUAAUGGGUAAAGAAGCACCGGCUAACUACGUG
rnacentral:rRNA from 1 species